AUGCCAGGAGGUACUGCCUCUACCUGCGACAAAGGCGCACGAUGGCACUUGGGGACGGGAGUCCUCCGCCGGCACCGGAUCACUGGAGGCAAACAUCGAAUUAAUUGGAUCUCAGUGACUGAGAUCGGUAACAUUGUGCUGAACUGAGGUUAUCUCUGACAUUACGUCCAGGUGUCUGCAAGAAUUUUUAGGCAUUUCUAGAAAAGGACUUGAAACACAUCGUUGCGCGGGCCAGUCUGACUGGCGAAGACUGUCAAAGUCGAAAUGCUGUCUGUUCCCGCUGCACUGGGAAGCUUUGCCUUGGCUCUGCGGGGGGAAAAGAGAUGUAGGAUCAGCCCCACGGAGGAAAGAUAGAGGAGAAUGAAAGACAAAGCAGAAGAACAUGUGGCUCCUGAACACAACAGGACAAGAGACUGCAUCCUGAGAGCUAGGCAACAUUUCUCAUCCAAAUGAAAGAAUAAUGCCCUCCUACUGCAAUUGCAAUUUCCUCUGCAACAAAAACACGCGUAAAAUGGGCACAGUGGAUAGCAACGACCUAUCAGUUUCCUGCUGUAGUUCUGCUAAUAAAUAAACUUCUAAAUGUUUAAAACACUCUAUCUGUCACAUUCACAAGAUAGGUACUGUAAAUUCCUGUUGCAGAUAUACAAACAGAGAUCCAAGAGGUUGCCUCUGUUUUUGUAUCUCUCUCUCACAAGAAAUGCACUAUCAAAACAUUAAUUAUAUUUGAAAGGGAGCAGAUUAUUUGUUUGAGAAAGAAUUACAUUCUUGAAUUUAUAUUCCACGCAGAUCUCUCCUCCUGUCUGCCGAGAGGGUUGAACUGUAAAUCUGUCUCAAAUGAUGUACCCCUAAAAUGUAGGUAUCUGUGGAGGAAGAAGGUGCCGCGACGAGAACCGCCUGCCAGCCAGAGCGGGGAACUGCCCGGCAGAAGGCUACGUGAUGGACGAGGGCUGCGUGGUCACGAUGGCAGAGCGGGACGGCGUGCUGGCACCAAACGCGUGCUUUUUUUUUUUUUUGUUCGCUACAACCAAAAAGAAACAUGGAGGGGGGCGAGGAGGGAAGGCAGUGGGGGCUGGGAGGGAGAGAUCAGAGAAGUUAGUGGCUGUCUGGAGUGUAAACACGAGUCCAUCAGUUCUUCGGGAGAAGGGCGGCUGCGCUCGACAGACCCGCGGAGCCACAGGACGCAGAAGGGGCGGAGGCGUCCUCGGCCCACCCCGGGCCCCCGCCGUUCGUCUGGAGCCCCGAGGGCUGCAGGGCAGCGCUGGGCACCGCAGCCAAUCCCGAACUUCUCCCCGGGUCCAUCCGGGCUCCUCGAUGACCGCCGUGCCGUCGGAGGGACGCAGAGAUCAUCCCAGGCUUGGGGAUGGGACAGGACGCGGAGGGGGUGGCAUGAAACAGCCUUAGGGCUGCAAACCCCAUUUAAUUCCUCGCUUAGCUUGGUGCAGAUCUCCCGCUCCUCCCUCGGACUUCGCGGGGAAGGCUGCAGUGGCCAAGCCCGUCCGUCUUGCGUUGCUGUACUGUACUGCCGCCGUGCCAAUAAACGCUCCGAGCACGGCUUAAUUGGCGGCCAGAGCUGCUCCGGCCUCUCCGUUCCGGCCCGGCCCGGCUCGGCCCGGCUCUGA
rnacentral:lncRNA from 1 species